GCCCAGCAGUGAUGACGAGGACGAUACGUCAUUUUCCUGAAUAUGACUGAUGCUUUUAAGUCACUACCUCAUCUGAGCUGGGA